rnacentral:rRNA from 1 species
GAGUUUGAUCAUGGCUCAGGAUUAACGCUGGCGGCAUGCCUAAUACAUGCAAGUCGAACGGAGUAGCAAUACUUAGUGGCGAACGGGUGAGUAACACGUAUCUAAUCUACCAUUUAGUGGGGAAUAACUGUUGGAAACGACAGCUAAUACCGCAUAAUAUUGCUGGAUAAUUUCCAGUAAUGAAAGGAGCUUUCAAGCUCCGCUGAUUGAUGAGGAUGCGGCGCAUUAGCUAGUUGGUAGGGUAAUGGCCUACCAAGGCAAUGAUGCGUAGCCGAUCUGAGAGGAUGAACGGCCACAUUGGGACUGAGACACGGCCCAAACUUCUACGGAAGGCAGCAGUAGGGAAUUUUUCACAAUGGGCGAAAGCCUGAUGGAGCAAUGCCGCGUGACUGAUGAAGGUCUUCGGAUUGUAAAGGUCUGUUGUAAGGGAAGAAAUGGUAAAACAGGAAAUGGUUUUAUCUAUGACGGUACCUUACCAGAAAGCCACGGCUAACUAUGUGCCAGCAGCCGCGGUAAUACAUAGGUGGCAAGCGUUAUCCGGAUUUAUUGGGCGUAAAGGGUGCGUAGACGGUUUUGCAAGUCUGAGGUUAAAUUUAGGAGCUCAACUCCUAAUCGCCUUGGAAACUACAAGACUAGAGUAUAGGAGAGGUUAGUGGAAUUCCAUGUGUAGCGGUGGAAUGUAUAGAUAUAUGGAGGAACACCAGUGGCGAAG